rnacentral:rRNA from 1 species
AGAACUCCAGUUGCGCAGGCAGCUUACUAAACUAUACUGACGCUGAGCACGAAAGCGUGGGUAUCAACAGGAUUAGAUACCUGGUAGUCCACGCAGUAAACGAUGAUUACUAGCUGUUUGUGAUAUAAAUAAGCGGCUAAGCGAAAGCGAUAAGUAAUCCACUGGGGAGUACGCCGGCAACGGUGAAACUCAAAGGAAUUGACGGGGGCCCGCACAAGCGGAGGAACAUGUGGUUUAAUUCGAUGAUACGCGAGGAACCUUACCCGGGCUUGAAAUGACAUGACCGAUUUGGAAACAGAUCUUCUAGCAAUAGCAUGUAUGUAGGUGCUGCAUGGUUGUCGUCAGCUCGUGCCGUGAGGUGUCGGCUUAAGUGCCAUAACGAGCGCAACCCACAUUGUUAGUUACUAACAGGUCAAGCUGAGGACUCUGACAAGACUGCCAGCGUAAGCUGGAGGAAGGUGUGGAUGACGUCAAAUCAGCACGGCCCUUACGUCCGGGGCGACACACGUGUUACAAUGGGGGGUACAGAGGGUUGCUACCUGGUGACAGGAUGCUAAUCUCGAAAGCCUCUCCCAGUUCGGAUUGGAGUCUGCAACUCGACUCCAUGAAGCUGGAUUCGCUAGUAAUCGCGCAUCAGCAUGGCGCGGUGAAUACGUUCCCGGGCCUUGUACACACCGCCCGUCAAGCCAUGGAAGCUGGGGGUACCUGAAGUACGUAACCGCAAGGAGCGUCCUAGGGUAAAACUGGUAACUGGGGCUAAGUCGUAACAAGGUAACCA